CCUACGGUGGGCUGCAGUGGGGAAUAUUGCACAAUGGGGGAAACCCUGAUGCAGCGACGCCGCGUGAGUGAAGGAGUAUUUCGGUAUGUAAAGCUCUAUCAGCAGGGUAGAAAAUGACGGUACCUGACUAAGAAGCCCCGGCUAACUACGUGCCAGCAGCCGCGGUAAUACGUAGGGGCCAAGCGUUAUCCGGAUUUACUGGGUGUAAAGGGAGCGUAGACGGGCAGGCAAGUCAGAAGUGAAAGCCCAGGGCUCAACCCUGGGACUGCUUUGGAAAGUGGCGGGCUGGAGUGCAGGAGAGGUAAGCGGAAUUCCUGGUGUAGCGGUGAAAUGCGUAGAUAUCAGGAGGAACACCGGUGGCGAAGGCGGGCUGCUGGACUGCAACUGACGUUGAGGCCCGAAAGCGUGGGGAGCAAACAGGAUUAGAUACCCGAGUAGUC
rnacentral:rRNA from 1 species